rnacentral:rRNA from 1 species
AACGAACGCUGGCGGCAUGCGUAACACAUGCAAGUCGAACGAGACCUUCGGGUCUAGUGGCGCACGGGUGCGUAACGCAUGGGAACCUGCCCUUAGGUUCGGAAUAACUCCCCGAAAGGGGUGCUAAUACCGGAUAAUGUCUUCGGACCAAAGAUUUAUCGCCUUUGGAUGGGCCCGCGUUGGAUUAGCUAGUUGGUAGGGUAAAAGCCUACCAAGGCGACGAUCCAUAGCUGGUCUGAGAGGAUGAUCAGCCACACUGGGACUGAGACACGGCCCAGACUCCUACGGGAGGCAGCAGUGGGGAAUAUUGGACAAUGGGCGAAAGCCUGAUCCAGCAAUGCCGCGUGAGUGAUGAAGGCCUUAGGGUUGUAAAGCUCUUUUACCCGGGAUGAUAAUGACAGUACCGGGAGAAUAAGCUCCGGCUAACUCCGUG